UACGUAGGUGGCAAGCGUUGUCCGGAUUUACUGGGCGUAAAGGGCGCGUAGGCGGCGCAACAAGUCACUGUGAAAUCUCCGGGCUUAACUCGGAGCGGUCAAGUGAUACUGUCGUGCUAGAGUGCAGAAGGGGCAACUGGAAUUCCUGGUGUAGCGGUGAAAUGCGCAGAUAUCAGGAGGAACACCGGUGGCGAAGGCGGUUCUCUGGGACGGUACUGACGCUGAGACGCGAAAGCGUGGGGAGCGAACAGG
rnacentral:rRNA from 1 species